GUAGGAAUCUACCUCUUUGUGGGGGAUAGUCCACCGAAAGGUGGGGUAAUACCGCAUACAACCGCAAGGUAAAAGGGCUUAACUGCUCGCAGAGAGAGGAACCUGCGCACCAUCAGUUUGUUGGUAGGGUAACGGCCUACCAAGACUACGACGGUUAGGGGGCGUGAGAGCGCGUACCCCCAGAAUGGCACUGAGGCACGGGC
rnacentral:rRNA from 1 species